rnacentral:rRNA from 1 species
UACGUAGGUGGCAAGCGUUGUCCGGAUUUACUGGGCGUAAAGCGCACGUAGGCGGGUUGUUAAGUCAGGGGUGAAAUCCUGGAGCUCAACUCCAGAACUGCCUUUGAUACUGGCAACCUAGAGACUGGAAGAGGUUAGUGGAAUUCCCAGUGUAGAGGUGAAAUUCGUAGAUAUUGGGAAGAACACCAGUGGCGAAGGCGGCUAACUGGUCCAGCACUGACGCUGAGGUGCGAAAGCGUGGGGAGCAAACAGGAUAGAAACCCC